GGGAAUAUUGGGCAAUGGAGGAAACUCUGACCCAGCAACGCCGCGUGAAUGAUGAAGGUCUUCGGAUUGUAAAGUUCUUUUCUAAGGGAAGAAGAAAGUGACGGUACCUUAGGAAUAAGCCUCGGCUAACUACGUGCCAGCAGCCGCGGUAAUACGUAGGAGGCAAGCGUUAUCCGGAAUGACUGGGCGUAAAGGGUGCGUAGGUGGUUUGACAAGUUGGUAGCGUAACUCCGGGGCUCAACCUCGGCACUACUACCAAAACUGUUGGACUUGAGUGCAGGAGGGGCAAAUGGAAUUCCUAGUGUAGCGGUGGAAUGCGUAGAUAUUAGGAGGAACACCAGUGGCGAAGGCGAUUUGCUGGACUGUAACUGACACUGAGGCACGAAAGCGUGGGGAGCAAACA
rnacentral:rRNA from 1 species